rnacentral:rRNA from 1 species
UACGGAGGGAGCUAGCGUUGUUCGGAAUUACUGGGCGUAAAGCGCACGUAGGCGGCUUUGUAAGUUAGAGGUGAAAGCCCGGGGCUCAACUCCGGAAUAGCCUUUAAGACUGCAUCGCUUGAAUCCGGGAGAGGUGAGUGGAAUUCCGAGUGUAGAGGUGAAAUUCGUAGAUAUUCGGAAGAACACCAGUGGCGAAGGCGGCUCACUGGACCGGUAUUGACGCUGAGGUGCGAAAGCGUGGGGAGCAAACAGG